CAUAAUGUAUUCGGAGGGCAUCCCUCUGAAUACCAAAGCUUAAUGUGCUGAGAGAUGGUCUCGCGUCUGAUUAGCUAGAUGGCGGGUAACGGCCACCAUGGCGACGAUCAGUAGCCGGUCUGAGAGGAUGAACGGCCACAUUGGGACUGAGAUACGGCCCAGACUCCUACGGGAGGCAGCAGUGGGGAAUAUUGGGCAAUGGGGAAACCUGACCCAGCAACGCCGCGUGAGUGAAGAAGUAUUUCGGUAUGUAAAGCUCUAUCAGCAGGGAAGAAAAUGACGGUACCUGACUAAGAAGCACCGGCUAAAUACGUG
rnacentral:rRNA from 1 species